rnacentral:rRNA from 1 species
GAUGAACGCUGGCGGCGUGCCUAACACAUGCAAGUCGAGCGAGGGUUUGCUCAGUAUUGAAUAUUCUAAGUCUAGAAUGUUCAAUACUGAGCAAAACCAAGCGGCGGACGGGUGAGUAACGCGUGGGUAAUCUGCCCUAUACACAUGGAUAACAUACUGAAAAGUUUACUAAUACAUGAUAAUAUAUAUUUGUGGCAUCGCAGAUAUAUCAAAGUGUUAGCGGUAUAGGAUGGACCCGCGUCUGAUUAGCUAGUUGGUGAGAUAACUGCCCACCAAGGCGACGAUCAGUAGCCGACCUGAGAGGGUGAUCGGCCACAUUGGAACUGAGACACGGUCCAAACUCCUACGGGAGGCAGCAGUGGGGAAUAUUGCACAAUGGGCGAAAGCCUGAUGCAGCAACGCCGCGUGAACGAUGAAGGUCUUCGGAUCGUAAAGUUCUGUUGCAGGGGAAGAUAAUGACGGUACCCUGUGAGGAAGCCCCGGCUAACUACGUGCCAGCAGCCGCGGUAAUACGUAGGGGGCUAGCGUUAUCCGGAUUUACUGGGCGUAAAGGGUGCGUAGGUGGUCCUUCAAGUCGGUGGUUAAAGGCUACGGCUCAACCGUAGUAAGCCGCCGAAACUGGAGGACUUGAGUGCAGGAGAGGAAAGUGGAAUUCCCAGUGUAGCGGUGAAAUGCGUAGAUAUUGGGAGGAACACCAGUAGCGAAGGCGGCUUUCUGGACUGCAACUGACACUGAGGCACGAAAGCGUGGGUAGCAAACAGG